rnacentral:rRNA from 1 species
AGCGGCGGAUGGGUGAGUAACACGUGGGGAACCUGCCCCUAAGUCUGGGAUACCAUUUGGAAACAGGUGCUAAUACCGGAUAAUAAAGCAGAUCGCAUGAUCAGCUUUUGAAAGGCGGCGUAAGCUGUCGCUAAGGGAUGGCCCCGCGGUGCAUUAGCUAGUUGGUAAGGUAACGGCUUACCAAGGCGACGAUGCAUAGCCGAGUUGAGAGACUGAUCGGCCACAUUGGGACUGAGACACGGCCCAAACUCCUACGGGAGGCAGCAGUAGGGAAUCUUCCACAAUGGACGCAAGUCUGAUGGAGCAACGCCGCGUGAGUGAAGAAGGUUUUCGGAUCGUAAAGCUCUGUUGUUGGUGAAGAAGGAUAGAGGUAGUAACUGGCCUUUAUUUGACGGUAAUCAACCAGAAAGUCACGGCUAACUACGUGCCAGCAGCCGCGGUAAUACGUAGGUGGCAAGCGUUGUCCGGAUUUAUUGGGCGUAAAGCGAGCGCAGGCGGAAAAAUAAGUCUAAUGUGAAAGCCCUCGGCUUAACCGAGGAACUGCAUCGGAAACUGUUUUUCUUGAGUGCAGAAGAGGAGAGUGGAACUCCAUGUGUAGCGGUGGAAUGCGUAGAUAUAUGGAAGAACACCAGUGGCGAAGGCGGCUCUCUGGUCUGCAACUGACGCUGAGGCUCGAAAGCAUGGGUAGCGAACAGGAUUAGAUAUCCUGGUAGUCCAUGCCGUAAACGAUGAGUGCUAAGUGU